GGGCCUGUAGCUCAGUUGGUUAGAGCAGUCGACUCAUAAUCGAUAGGUCGCAGGUUCAAGUCCUGCCGGGCCCA
rnacentral:tRNA from 1 species